GAUGAACGCUGGCGGCGUGCCUAACACAUGCAAGUCGAGCGGAGAAUUGUUGCUUGCAACAAUUCUUAGCGGCGGACGGGUGAGUAACACGUGGGUAACCUGCCCUAAACAAAGGGAUAACAAUGAGAAAUCAUUGCUAAUACCGUAUAAGCUUACACUAUCGCAUGAUAGAGUAAGAAAAGAUUUAUCGGUUUAGGAGGGGCCCGCGUCUGAUUAGCUAGUUGGAGAGGUAACGGCUCACCAAGGCGACGAUCAGUAGCCGACCGGAGAGGGUGAUCGGCCACAUUGGGACUGAGACACGGCCCAAACUCCUACGGGAGGCAGCAGUGGGGAAUAAUGCACAAUGGAGGAAACUCUGAUGCAGCAACGCCGCGUGAAGGAAGAAGGUUUUCGGAUCGUAAACUUCUAUCUACAGGGAAGAAAAAAAUGACGGUACCUGAGGAAGAAGCCCCGGCUAACUACGUG
rnacentral:rRNA from 1 species